GGGUUGAGCUGGCACACAGAAUAUCACCACGUCAUGUACAAGGAAUUGCUGACUAUGACCAUGGACCAAGGUCGGGCUUUGAGAUCUCCAGCAACAUCUACCUGUCAUCAAAUAAGUAGAGAUGUCCAAGGCCAGCCUCUUUUGCAGGAGCUUCACUCUAGUUUAAGUAGACAUGCACCUUGUGCUUACAACUCCAGAAGACUGCUAGUACCGACAGCUCGAUGUGUCCAUUUUCUAUACAA